rnacentral:rRNA from 1 species
GAUGAACGCUGACAGAAUGCUUAACACAUGCAAGUCAACUUGAACUUCGGUUUGGGUGGCGGACGGGUGAGUAACGCGUAAAGAACUUGCCUCACAGCUAGGGACAACAUUUGGAAACGAAUGCUAAUACCUGAUAUUAUGAUUUUAGGGCAUCCUAGAAUUAUGAAAGCUAUAUGCGCUGUGAGAGAGCUUUGCGUCCCAUUAGCUAGUUGGAGAGGUAACGGCUCACCAAGGCGAUGAUGGGUAGCCGGCCUGAGAGGGUGAUCGGCCACAAGGGGACUGAGACACGGCCCUUACUCCUACGGGAGGCAGCGGUGGGGAAUAUUGGACAAUGGACCAAGAGUCUGAUCCAGCAAUUCUGUGUGCACGAUGAAGUUUUUCGGAAUGUAAAGUGCUUUCAGUUGGGAAGAAAAAAAUGACGGUACCAACAGAAGAAGUGACGGCUAAAUACGUGCCAGCAGCCGCGGUAAUACGUAUGUCACAAGCGUUAUCCGGAUUUAUUGGGCGUAAAGCGCGUCUAGGUGGUUAUAUAAGUCUGAUGUGAAAAUGCAGGGCUCAACUCUGUAUUGCGUUGGAAACUGUGUAACUAGAGUACUGGAGAGGUAAGCGGAACUACAAGUGUAGAGGUGAAAUUCGUAGAUAUUUGUAGGAAUGCCGAUGGGGAAGCCAGCUUACUGGACAGAUACUGACGCUGAAGCGCGAAAGCGUGGGUAGCAAACAGG